GGUUUAAGUUCUCUGACCACUGCACAUCACAGCUCCUUUAUGAUGCAGCAGAAAGUCUUGUAGAAUUGUUGGAACUAGAUAAUUCAUCACUCUGUGGCCAAGAUGAGCCUCCCACCAUUUCUGGAAGCUGGAACUAGGACAAGGAACAGAUAGCCAUUAAAUUCAAUUUUACCAACUUGGUAGGAUCUGCCUGAUUUUGUUAUCUGUUGUCACAACAGGAAGUAAUAAAGUAUCAAAGAAGGAUGCUAGUGGAGGAAUAAGAGCAAAGGUUUAUUAUUAUAAAACACUUUAUAUUGAUGAAUUUGAUUUUCACAACAACCCUCUGAAGCAGCAGUGAGAACAGAAUCGCCCAAUCCACAGAUGAAGUGGGGGAAAGCAGUGGCGAGAACGGAGUUGCAGGUGCAAUGUUGGUCAGAACAAGAGAGAAGAGAACUCUUUCACAUGCCUGUCUUCAGCUUGCUACACUAGAGACUUUAAGGAACUUUCCAUUGGGUGAAAUCUAGGAGUCUCUCUUCUGGUUGAACUGAGUUACCUCAUUCCACAAGAGAUCUCCCUCACACAAUAUUGCCUGAUUAUAUGACAAUAAAAUUUUUAAAUAAUUGUUUCUGAUAUUUUGCAAACCAAGUUCUCUCCUUCCAUCUCCCUCUGCUCUCCUCUCCAAGAUGACAGGUAAUGUGAUAUAGGUUAUAUAUCAUGUGUUAUCAUGCAAUACAUAUUUCCAUGUCUGUCACAUUAUGAAACAAGACACAUAUCACUUAUAAUAGAGGAAAGAUU